CCUACGGGAGGCAGCAGUGGGGGAUAUUGCACAAUGGGGGGAACCCUGAUGCAGCGACGCCGCGUGGGUGAAGGAGCGUUUCGGCGCGUAAAGCCCCAUCGGCAGGGAAGAAGAUGACGGUACCUGGCCAAGAAGCCCCGGCCAACUACGUGCAAGCAGCCGCGGCAAUUCGUAGGGGGCAAGUGUUAUCCGGAUUUACUGGGGGUUAAGGGGGUGCAGACGGGAAAGCAAGCCAGGAGUGAAAGCCCGGGGCCCAACCCCGGGACUGCUCUUGGAACUGCAUGGCUGGAGUACAGGAGGGGCAGGCGGAAUUCCUGGUGUAGCGGUGAAAUGCGUAGAUAUUAGGAAGAACACCGGUGGCGAAGGCGGCCUACUGGACUGUGACUGACGUUGAGGCCCGAAGGCGUGGGGAGCGAACAGGAUUAGAUACCCCAGUAGUC
rnacentral:rRNA from 1 species